rnacentral:rRNA from 1 species
GUCUACGGCCCUGCCACCCUGAACAAGCCCAAUCCCAUCUGAUCUCGAAAGCUAAGCAGGGUCAAGCCUGGUUAGUACUUGGAUGGGCAACCGCAUAGGAAGACCAGGUCCUGUAGGCA